AAAAUUCUUACUCUUGUAUCUCCUAGUUAUUUCUUGUUACUUCCUUUAGAACUGUCAAUUUUUUGGCCUGGGGAGAUGGCUUAGUGGGUAAAGGUGCUCACUAUAUAAAACUUGACCUGAAGACUCUGCCUAGACUCCACAUAAACAUGGAAGGAAAGAGCAACUCCACAAAGUUGUUUCCUGGCCUUUCCAUGUUUACCAUAGCUUUUGCUGUUUCCUACCCUCUCACAGUUUAUGUGCAUAUAUAUGCAUGUUGUCAGUUAUUGUCUCUCAGACCUAUUUAAUUGUACUUUAUUUCAGGCCCCAAUCCUUUGAUUUACUCAGGUUAUCUUCCUGACUCUGAACUACUUCUAAUUCUUUUCAUUCUCAAAAAGCAUUUUUUUUUCUGAUUUGUAUGAGUACUUCCCCUUUGAAUAGUUUGUACAGGUGGAUUUCUGCAUAAUUUACUAGUGCAUCCUGUUCAGCAUCCCUUUCAUCACUACUCAAAAUUCCUUUUUAGAUUAACUUUAUACAACUCACAUAUUCUUUCAGUUGGAAUUUUGAAAGUAUCAUACUCAUAAAGACUUCUAUUAGUUACAGUGUGCCUUCAUAGUGUAAUAGCAGCCUACAUAUCCCUGGUCACAGCCUGGUGGAUCAUAUUUAUUUGAACAGUUGAGGAGGCCUUCAGAAGUGCGUUCCCUUCCUUCUUUCCUGUGUUUUAGCUUUGAUAUUGUCCCACUAUUAUUAUUAUUUUUUUUAAAGCAUCUUCUCUUUUGUAUGGAAUCUGAGUAAAUUCACAGUGGAAACUACCUUGUACUGAUCUUUCUGUCUCUUAGGCAGUAGGCAGAUAAGCAUUAAUCAAGAAAUAUACACAUACAUUUAUUGAAUAGAGUUUCUGGAAUCACUGUAUUAUAUCUGCCCCAGGGUAAAAAAGACAGUAAGUUGGAAAAGACUAGAUGGUUGAAAGCAAGACAGUUUUGUAACUCUACAUCCUGUCUUCUGGUGUACUCUUGACCACCGUCUUUAUGCCACUCAUACUCUUCCAGCAGUCAUGGCAACUGAUACCUUAAUUCGUUCUGUUAUUACUGACUAGUCUCUCAAAUUUUCAUAGAGGAAUCCUCCAGAUGCUGUUCUCUGUAAAUAUAUGUGAGUCAUAUUUAACAUUUUCUUAUACUUUGCUGCUCAAAUUCCUGUAAAUUCUGACAAGAAUUUUCAAUGACUGCUAAAGAUCUGUGCACAUGGUCCUUCAUUUUCACAAAGCCAAUAAAUAUCUGUAACUUGAGAGGUUAUACACCUUACUAAAAGUCAUACAGGCAGGAAAAGGGAUGACAAAUGGUAAGGUUGCGUCCACAUGACCACCUAAAAUUUGUCAUCUUCCUUUUUGCAAAAACAAACAUGACUAAAUUAAACAACAAAUUAAGAUUAUUAUGCUGACAUGCAUGGAACCUUGGAUCAUUAUUAUGAUUUUUCAUUACCCAGAAACACAUAGAAAAUGAUAAGGAAUGUAUCUGGAAUAUAGUACACACUGGUUGGGGUUGUAGCCUUCAGUCAAAUGACUCUGAAUUUUAGUUUGGCACUGCCAUUCCCUUGACUUGGAUUAUACCCACUCCUACCUUAUCUCUGGUUGUGUGGUUUCAGUGAAAUUACCAUGCAGCUGGUAGAUAACAUCUUGGAAGACAUCCUGAGAACAGUUCUCCCAACGUUGCUUGUUAACUUAAAAAAAGAGAGAGAGAGAUUAGAAAUGUCUGUAAUGAAGACUUAUUUUCUAAAACCUGACCUUAUAUCGUCCACCUUUAAAUGGAAGAGAUGUGUUUUCUCACAUCUUUUAGAUAUAAUUCACAUAGUAUAAAAAUUCGCCAUUUUAAAAAGUGUAAAAUUUGUGGUUAUAGUAUAUUCACAGAGUUGUGAAAUUGUCUUUAUAAAAUUCCAGAGCAUUUCAUCGCUGUAAAAAGUUUUCUGUACCCAUUAAGAGUGACUGCCUGUUCUUAACUCCAACCCCUGGCAACUACUCGUCUUCGUAUGCCUAUGAAUUUGCCUAUUUUGGUCAUUUCAUGUUAAUGGAGUCAUACAAUUAUGUGGCCUUUUUGUCUGUUUCGCCACCUUCCACAAAGCAAUGAGUUCAAACUGCAUCAAUGUUGUAGCAUGUACUGGUACUGUUUCUUUUGUGGCUGAAUAUUGUCAUUGUAUUGAUAUGCUGUAUUUUUUUGCUUGUCCACUUGGUUGUGCAUACAUGUGUUCUUUCUGCUUUUUGCAUAUUAUGAAUACAACUAUGAACACUUUGUGUACAUGUUUUCAUUUCUCCUACUGUCUUUUAAGUAUCUUAUGGUUUUGGUUCUUAAAUUUAGGUCUUUGAUUCAUUUUUGCAUGUGGUACAUUUUAGGGAUCCAGUUUCAUUCUCUAAUAUGUGGAUAUCUAGUAGAACAAUACCUAAUUGUUACAAAGACUAUUAGUAAUUUCCUUAUGAGUAGGCUUGCUAUCUUUGUCAAAAACACGUACAAAUGACCAUAAAUAUGGCUAAUUUUGGAUUCUUGAACUUUGUCCCAUUGUCCUAUGUGUGUCUCUUCCUAUGCCAGUACCAUACUGUCUUAAUUACUGUAGCCCUAGAGUAAGUUUUGAAUUUAGGAUGUGUUAGUUCUCUAGCUUUGUUCUACAUCAAGAUAAUUUUACCUGUUCUGGGUCCCUUGCAUUCCACAUGGAUUUUAGAAUCUAUUUGUUAAUUUCUACAUAAAAAGCACCUGUGAUUUUGAUUGUUCUUGUGUUGAAUCGAUACAUCAGAUUGACGUAUGUUGGUAUUUUAACAGUAUUAAAUUUUAUAAUCCAU
rnacentral:lncRNA from 1 species